rnacentral:rRNA from 1 species
UACGGGGGGGGCUAGCGUUGUUCGGAAUUACUGGGCGUAAAGGGCGCGUAGGCGGUCUGCUAAGUUGGAUGUGAAAACUCUGGGCUUAACCCAGAGCCUGCAUUCAAUACUGACAGGCUAGAGUUCUGGAGGGGAUAGCGGAAUUCCGGGUGUAGCGGUGGAAUGCGUAGAGAUCCGGAAGAACACCGGUGGCGAAGGCGGUCUGCUGGGCAGUUGCUGACACUGAGGCGCGACAGCGUGGGGAGCAAACAGG